rnacentral:rRNA from 1 species
CGUAGGGUGCGAGCGUUAAUCGGAAUUACUGGGCGUAAAGCGUGCGCAGGCGGUUAUGCAAGACAGGUGUGAAAUCCCCCGGGCUCAACCUGGGAACUGCACUUGUGACUGCAUGACUAGAGUGCGUCAGAGGGAGGUGGAAUUCCGCGUGUAGCAGUGAAAUGCGUAGAGAUGCGGAGGAACACCGAUGGCGAAGGCAGCCUCCUGGGAUGACACUGACGCUCAUGCACGAAAGCGUGGGAGCAAACAGGAUU